UACAGAGGGUGCGAGCGUUAAUCGGAAUUACUGGGCGUAAAGCGCACGUAGGUGGCGACGUAAGUCGGGUGUGAAAGCCCCGGGCUCAACCUGGGAAUUGCAUUCGAGACUGCAUUGCUGGAGUACGGAAGAGGAAGGCGGAAUUCCCGGUGUAGCGGUGAAAUGCGCAGAUAUCGGGAGGAACACCAAUGGCGAAGGCAGCUCGCUGGGACGGUACUGACGCUGAGACGCGAAAGCGUGGGGAGCAAACAGG
rnacentral:rRNA from 1 species